rnacentral:lncRNA from 1 species
CCUUGUUACCAUCAUCUCUUCCAAUUCAUGUGUAAACCUACUUUAGCUCAUUAGCAAGAAGCUAAAAAACACUUCUUGCAUUACUUAAAAUGACGUAUAAUUAUAAACCCUGUUAUUGUUUAGGGCUCAUUCAUUUGACAGCUUAUUUUAGAAUUCGAGUUGUAUCUUUUGUCCGAAAGAAUGAUUGAUCUUUUUUCACAACAUUAACUAUUGGAUCGUGCCUUGCAUAGAUUUCAAAGCAUUC